GCCCGGCUGGCACAAUUGGUUAGCGCGUGGGCCUUUUAUAGCUCCCCAAAAGAGUUAAAGGUAGCCCAAGGUUGAGAGUUCGAGCCUCUCGUGUA